AAAGUGGUAAAGAAUGAUUUACAAGGUAUUUUAAAAAGGAUUUACAUGACUUGCAAUCGUUUUUAACGGAUUAGAAAAUGGUAAGGAUUGAUUUACAAGAGAUUUUAAAAGCUAUUAAAAAGGGUUUAAUUGAUUAACAAUCGUUUUAGAAGCAGAACUUAGUGGCAUAGAAUGAUUUACAAGGGAUUUUAAAAGCUUUUAAAAGUGUUUAACUUGAUUUACAAUCGUUAAAAAGCAUAAGUAUGUGGCGUAGAAUGAUUUACAAGGUAUUUUAAAAAGGGUUUGCAUUUUUUACAAUCGUUUUUAAAGGGGUUUUCUAAUAUGAUAAUU
rnacentral:sRNA from 1 species